rnacentral:rRNA from 1 species
CCUACGGGAUGCUGCAGUAGGGAAUCUUCCACAAUGGGCGAAAGCCUGAUGGAGCAACGCCGCGUGGGUGAAGAAGGUCUUCGGAUCGUAAAACCUCUGUCAGCAGGGAAGAACGGUCACUGUGCUGAUCAGCAGUGAAUUGACGGUACCUGCAAAGGAAGCACCGGCUAACUCCGUGCCAGCAGCCGCGGUAAUACGGAGGGUGCGAGCGUUAAUCGGAAUUACUGGGCGUAAAGCGCUCGUAGGCGGUAUGUCAAGUCAAGUGUGAAAUCCCCGCGCUCAACGUGGGAACUGCCUUUGAAACUGGCAAACUGGAGUGUAUGAGAGGAUAGUGGAAUUCCAGGUGUAGGAGUGAAAUCCGUAGAUAUCUGGAGGAACAUCAGUGGCGAAGGCGACUAUCUGGCACAUAACUGACGCUGAGGAGCGAAAGCGUGGGUAGCAAACAGGAUUAGAUACCCGGGUAGUC